rnacentral:rRNA from 2 species
CGGAACGAGAAUAGCUUGCUAUUCGGCGUCGAGCGGCGGACGGGUGAGUAAUGCUUGGGAAUAUGCCUUAUGGUGGGGGACAACAGUUGGAAACGACUGCUAAUACCGCAUAACGUCUACGGACCAAAGGGGGGGAUCUUCGGACCUCUCGCCAUUUGAUUAGCCCAAGUGAGAUUAGCUAGUUGGUAAGGUAAUGGCUUACCAAGGCGACGAUCUCUAGCUGGUUUGAGAGGAUGAUCAGCCACACUGGGACUGAGACACGGCCCAGACUCCUACGGGAGGCAGCAGUGGGGAAUAUUGCACAAUGGGCGAAAGCCUGAUGCAGCCAUGCCGCGUGUGUGAAGAAGGCCUUCGGGUUGUAAAGCACUUUCAGCGAGGAGGAAAGGUUAGUAGUUAAUAACUGCUAGCUGUGACGUUACUCGCAGAAGAAGCACCGGCUAACUUCGUGCCAGCAGCCGCGGUAAUACGAGGGGUGCAAGCGUUAAUCGGAAUUACUGGGCGUAAAGCGUGCGUAGGUGGUUUGUUAAGCAAGAUGUGAAAGCCCUGGGCUCAACCUGGGAACUGCAUUUUGAACUGGCAAGCUAGAGUUUUGUAGAGGGUAGUGGAAUUUCCAGUGUAGCGGUGAAAUGCGUAGAGAUUGGAAGGAACAUCAGUGGCGAAGGCGGCUACCUGGACAAAGACUGACACUGAGGCACGAAAGCGUGGGGGAGCAAACAGGAUU